UUUGCAAUGUGUGGAACGCCAUUUGCUAGCAACAGACGAGGAAAUCACAUUACAAUAUUGAAGAGCACAUAACCAAUAUUACUCUGCUUCAAUAAAUGGGUAAUUUAAUGUCUUGGCAUAUAUUUAAGAUAGUAAAGUUUAUCAGAACAAUCAAACUUUACACAACCAGAUGUAACAUGUUGAAUACUAGAAGAGGAUGGAAGGUAGUAGCCGUGCUCGACUGGACGCAAAGGCUGAUUGCCAUGCCACCCUGGAGAAUCCAGCAGAUUAAAACAAGUACAGAUGAUUGACAUGACGCCUAAGGUAGUAGCAUUCGUUUGAUACUUAAUAGUGAUGCCCCACCCCCACAUACAUGAUGCCACAUAGAUUCAUUAUCGAUAAAUUCCCUUGAUCUUUUUGUCUAGAUAAGCUUGGAGCGAUGUUCGUGUGCCUCAUUUUGGAUUGGAUUAUAAUAUCAUCGGGGAAUUUCUUCUUCCUGUCCUUGCCAACUUUGAUUGACUUCUUUAUGGCCACUAGGUUUGUCCUUCAGAGUCCAGAUACAAACCUUACCAAAGUCCAGACAUGAAUAGACAUGCAGUAGUACCAUUGGUAUGGUGAAGUUCCCAGACCAAAGUGAUAGGUUUUAUAUUGCACCUUGGACAAAAAACAUAAUAGAAGUAUCAUAAUAGUAGUAUCUCUCCUCUCUUCUCACUGGUUUGCUUUGGUUAGUACAACAAACUACACGUGUUUUUGGAAGUGCUUCUCAGAUUUGUUUAUGCCUAAACUUGGCUUCUUUUCGAGGGAUGCAUACCAUAUGCUUACUGAGAUGCAUAUGGUUUCCCCUUUAGACAUGUAUGUUCUUCCAUUGUUCUGGGAUAUUCAAGUUUGAUGCUGCCAUUUUAAAUACUCCCUCCAUCCUAAAAAAUUGUCGGAUCACUGAUACAUUCACAUUUUACAGUUAAAUCACUUGGAUCAUUACCGCAUAGCUAACUGAAUCAAACUACUUAGAGAUCAUAGAGAACAUAUAUAUAUUGCUACUGUUUUAACAAGUGCACAUGCGCCUAUCCCUGAAAAUGCAAUGAGCACUUAUCCUGAACUGAGGAAAGAUUGGUAAUUGCUCUGUAUAAAUGCCUUGCUGCUUGGUUGUCUGGAUAAGGGAAUAAUUUUGGCCAUGUUAUUAUUUGGCCAGGGAGUAAAGCUGUACAUGAGUUUUUUUUUGUCGACUAACUAACUGCACUUGAGAUUCUUUUGUAAGUAGAGAUGUACAGAGACUAACCCUGGGAGUGCUGCAGAGCAGGUUUUCUACUGUUAGUGUAAACCAAUAUUUUUGAAUGCAACUGAACACAAUAUCUUCUAUACUCUGUCCUAAUUCUCUUUUCCCAAGAGAAACACCAUGCCCUAUUUUCUCUAGAGUUUAUGCCUGAGAAGUGAUAACUAAUGCCUAAUACAUAUAGAGUUCAGGUUAAUCGCUUUUUGUUUGAUGUGCUGGUAUUAGUUGUUGUCUAGGUAGUCAUGUGAGAGUUUCUUCCAUUUGAGUACAUGUAGGAAGGGGAGCAUUCAACAUUUUUUUCUCCACACCCAUACAUUAAACUUCUGGUCCCAAGAACUUUUGUCAAAACAACUAAAGUUUCGUUCCCUACAAAAUGCUCUGUUUAAUAGAAUACCUUAUUUAGCAUCUGUUGCAUUCCUGCUCUCUAGAAAUAACCAAAUUGUUUAACAACAGUAUGUAUACAACUGAAAUAGAAAUCAGUAGCAGUUCUUCAAAUAUUGUGGCAUGCAAUGUGUAUGAUUAAUGUUAUUAAUAUUGUCUUUAUGUCCCAUUUAUAAAAAGCAAAUAUGCCCUAAAUCAUGUAAGGACCUUUUGGUUCCCACACAAACUAGAUAUCAUGCCUUAUGUAAAGUGCAAAGAAGAGAUAUUUUCACAGGUAUUGAUAUGAUCUAAUAAUUUUUGAAAAGACACCUUUACCUGCUAUGCAGAUCUACCAAUUGCAUGGAGGCAUUUCCUAGAGAAAAAUCUUUGACGAGCCAACAUGAAUGGAGGGCAUUCGGCAGCAGAACCCACUACAAGGGUUCGACUCUACGAUGCGUCAAGAGAACAUAAAUCAUCAUGCUGUACCCCUCCGGCAGCAGUGGGUGGACUUCCGCCAAGGCCGACCCAUUCUUUGCAUCAUGUGGUAUGAGGGCAGUGACAUGGGACGAGGCAUUGGAGCUGUACCGAGGACAUAGGAUGUUGCAUGUGUGUGUGUGUGGCGCUACUAGGUACGAAGCUAAUUAUCUGAAUCCCUUGUGCAUAUAAAACUGCAGGUGCUUCUUUACUUAAGCAUGGUCAUUGAACUACUAGAGUUUAUGCGGCGAUGAUUUUCUUGCUUCCCUGGGUGCUAGCUACGGCUUGGCUAAGGAAUCGUAUAGGAAUAGAUUAUAUCUACCAUUCAGUUAUGGUUAUAGAAGUAAUAAGAGGAGAAUAACUACUGCAGUUGGUAGAGUAGUUUCUUAACUUGCUUAGAUAUACUUGUUGUACUGCUUUGGUGCAUCUUUUACU